rnacentral:rRNA from 1 species
UACGUAGGGUGCGAGCGUUGUCCGGAAUUAUUGGGCGUAAAGGGCUCGUAGGCGGUCUGUCGCGUCGGGGAGUGAAAACUCAGGGCUUAACCCUGAGCCUGCUUCCGAUACGGGCAGACUAGAGGUAUGCAGGGGAGAACGGAAUUCCUGGUGUAGCGGUGGAAUGCGCAGGAUAUCAGGAGGAACACCGGUGGCGAAGGCGGUUCUCUGGGCAUUACCUGACGCUGAGGAGCGAAAGUGUGGGGAGCGAACAGG